ensembl:snoRNA Gm22581 predicted gene, 22581
UGCAGUCAAGUCAAAUUCAGUCCCUGCCCUGUCAUGGUGGGAACUGGCCUAGAUGGCUGCCACAACAAGUUCUGCUGCUCAUGGGCCCCGGGUCUCCUGUCCUGGAACCUGGGGAUAAGUUUGGCUGCAGACACUA